AUGGUCCGCGGAAAGGCCGUGAUCGAGAAGAUCGAAAACCAGACAAGCCGACAGGUGACCUUCUCCAAGAGGAAGAGCGGAUUGUUCAAGAAGGGCAAGGAACUGGGCGUUCUCUGUGAUGCCCAGGUAGGGAUCUUCAUCUUCUCCAACACCGGACGCCUCUAUGAGUACUCCAAUUCCGGGUAUGUGCACAUAUCUGCUUUCUCUUGUUCUCGCAUAUGGAUUGAUAAUUAUUCUGUGAAUCUAAUAGCAACAUACAGAUAUUUUUUCAAUUCAUGUAUUCAAUCCGUUUAA
rnacentral:rRNA from 1 species